rnacentral:rRNA from 1 species
UACGUAGGGUGCGAGCGUUAAUCGGAAUUACUGGGCGUAAAGCGUGCGCAGGCGGCGCGUUAAGACAGGUGUGAAAGCCCCGAGCUUAACUUGGGAAUUGCGCUUGUGACUGGCGUGCUGGAGUGUGGCAGAGGGAGGUGGAAUUCCACGUGUAGCAGUGAAAUGCGUAGAGAUCAGCAGGAACACCCGUGGCGAAGGCGGCCCCCUGGGCCGUACCUGACGCUGAGGCGCGAAGGCUAGGGGAGCGAACGGG